UGUGGGUCGGUAUCUACGUCUGAGGCCCGGGCAGAGGAGCACCGGUACCGCCUUGUGAAUCCCCCUGUGGCCGUAAGCUCCCCGAGGUGGGAAGCCCGGCAGAAGCUCUUUUUGUAUUUCUUUUGUAUUUCAACAACAAAGCCCGUGUCAGGCAUGGACUGCGCUCCUGUCGAGCGACUUCUGCCAGCCCAACAAACCAAACCUGAAUAAAACUGGCUCUGGGAUGCUCCUGCC